rnacentral:rRNA from 1 species
AAGUCGUAACAAGGUUUCCGUAGGUGAACCUGCGGAAGGAUCAUUACAGAGAGGGGCUUCACGGCCCCGGGGGCUCCGGCCCCCACCUCUACACCCCGUGAUUACCUACCUUUCUGUUGCUUUGGCGGGCCUUGGGGUCAUGCUCAUGCCGGCGGUGCCGGCGAGCGCCCGUCGAUAGCCCCCCACAAAUCGUUUUAUUGGUGAUGUCUGAGCGAAAACACAAAUAAUCAAAACUUUCAACAACGGAUCUCUUGGUUCUGGCAUCGAUGAAGAACGCAGCGAAAUGCGAUAAGUAAUGUGAAUUGCAGAAUUCAGUGAAUCAUCGAAUCUUUGAACGCACAUUGCGCCCCUCGGCAUUCCGGGGGGCAUGCCUGUUCGAGCGUCAUUACACCCCUCAAGCGUAGCUUGGUCUUGGGUCCUCGCCCCCUGGGCGUGCCCGAAAAGUAUGGGCGGUCCGGAGUGACUUUAAGCGUAGUAAAUUAUCUCCCGCUUUGAAAGUUCGCCCCGUGCCCGCCGGACAACCCCUCAGUUAUCAACGAUUGACCUCGGAUCAGGUAGGGAUACCCGCUGAACUUAAGCAUAUCAAUAAGCGGAGGAAAAGAAACCAACAGGGAUUGCCUCAGUAACGGCGAGUGAAGCGGCAACAGCUCAAAUUUGAAAUCUGGCCCCUUCGGGGUCCGAGUUGUAAUUUGUAGAAGAUGUUUCGGGUGCGGCGGCGGUCUAAGUCCCUUGGAACAGGGCGUCGCAGAGGGUGAGAAUCCCGUAUGUGACCGGCGACCAACCCCGGGUGAAACUCCUUCGACGAGUCGAGUUGUUUGGGAAUGCAGCUCAAAAUGGGUGGUAAAUUUCAUCUAAAGCUAAAUACCGGCCAGAGACCGAUAGCGCACAAGUAGAGUGAUCGAAAGAUGAAAAGCACUUUGGAAAGAGAGUUAAACAGUACGUGAAAUUGUUGAAAGGGAAGCGCUUGCGACCAGACCUGCCCGCGGACGAUCAGUGGGGGUUCUCCCCCGCGCACUCGUCCGUGAUCAGGCCAGCAUCGGUUCUGGCGGCCGGAUAAAGACCCUCGGAAUGUGGCUCCCCCCGGGGAGUGUUAUAGCCUGGGGUGCAAUACGGCCAGCCGGGACCGAGGACCGCGCUUCGGCUAGGAUGCUGGCGUAAUGGUCGUAAGCGACC